rnacentral:lncRNA from 1 species
AGAUAGUGAAACAUAUACAGAAAUAUUAACAAAUACAAAAAAUUUAGAAACCAAUGAAAAACAAAAAGAAAUUAAUGAAGAAAACUUAGAAAGUACCCACACAGAAAUAAAUACUCUUGAUAAAAAAGAAAAUGAAAAUAUAAUACCUAAAACAACAGAAAUAAGAAAACCUAUAUAUUAUAAGAAUAAGUUUAAAAAAUAUAAUGAAUAUGAUAAAUGGAUACCAAAACAAAUAGUGAAUAAAAAUUAUAACUUUUUAGAUCUAGACUGUGUAAUAGAUACAGAAAAAACAAUACAAUUAUGGGUAGGAUAUAUG